GCCAGACUCCUACGGGAGGCAGCAGUGGGGGAUAUUGCACAAUGGGGGGAACCCUGAUGCAGCGACGCCGCGUGGGUGAAGAAGCGCCUCGGCGCGUAAAGCCCUGUCAGCAGGGAAGAAAAUGACGGUACCUGAAGAAGAAGCCCCGGCUAACUACGUGCCAGCAGCCGCGGUAAUACGUAGGGGGCAAGCGUUAUCCGGAUUUACUGGGUGUAAAGGGGGCGCAGACGGCGAUGCAAGUCUGAAGUGAAAGGCGGGGGCCCAACCCCCGGACUGCUUUGGAAACUGUAUGGCUGGAGUGCAGGAGAGGUAAGUGGAAUUCCUAGUGUAGCGGUGAAAUGCGUAGAUAUUAGGAGGAACACCAGUGGCGAAGGCGGCUUACUGGACUGUAACUGACGUUGAGGCUCGAAAGCGUGGGGAGCAAACAGGAUUAGAUACCCGAGUAAA
rnacentral:rRNA from 1 species